rnacentral:rRNA from 1 species
UACGUAGGGGGGCUAGCGUUGUCCGGAAUCAUUGGGCGUAAAGCGCGUGUAGGCGGUCCGGUAAGUCCGCUGUGAAAGUCGGGGGCUCAACCCUCGGAUGCCGGUGGAUACUGUCGGGCUUGAGUACGGAAGAGGCGAGUGGAAUUCCUGGUGUAGCGGUGAAAUGCGCAGAUAUCAGGAGGAACACCUGUGGCGAAAGCGGCUCACUGGACCGCAACUGACGCUGAGGCGCGAAAGCGUGGGGAGCAAACAGG